GGGGGUUUAAGGUUCAGUGGUAAAACAUCUGCUUUGCAUGCAGAAGAUACCAGGUUCAGUGACUGGAAUCUCUG
rnacentral:tRNA from 1 species